rnacentral:rRNA from 1 species
UAGGGAAUCUUCGGCAAUGGACGAAAAGUCUGACCGAGCAACGCCGCGUGAGUGAAGAAGGUUUUCGGAUCGUAAAACUCUGUUGUUAGAGAAGAACAAGGGUGAGAGUAACUGUUCACCCCUUGACGGUAUCUAACCAGAAAGCCACGGCUAACUACGUGCCAG